GCGUCCCUACGGGACGCAGCAGUGGGGAAUAUUGCACAAUGGGCGAAAGCCUGAUGCAGCAACGCCGCGUGAGCGAUGAAGGCCUUCGGGUCGUAAAGCUCUGUCCUCAAGGAAGAUAAUGACGGUACUUGAGGAGGAAGCCCCGGCUAACUACGUGCCAGCAGCCGCGGUAAUACGUAGGGGGCUAGCGUUAUCCGGAAUUACUGGGCGUAAAGGGUGCGUAGGUGGUUUCUUAAGUCAGAGGUGAAAGGCUACGGCUCAACCGUAGUAAGCCUUUGUAACUGGGGGACUUG
rnacentral:rRNA from 1 species